GCCAUAUGCUCCACACAGCCUACCACACGGCUAUGUGUCACUGAGUAGUUUUGAAAAUAGCCCAUGUUUCGUGAAUUUCUCGAGUUUUGAGUGAUAAAUCAGGUUAGAGUCACACACUUGAUUGAAGAUUUGAUCGCUCACACAACCACAACACUUCAAAACCUACAUACCAUGUUUAACAGAACUGAUUAUCAUACAAUCAAAUGCCAAAAUCUCACUCAAAACACUCAUUUUUCCUUAAAGAAAUAGUCCCUAAAUAAGCACACGGGCACUUACUUCACAUGCACCACGUCAAAACAACGAUUACAUUGCUAGAAGGUUUCAAUUCUCCCACCCUUCG
rnacentral:lncRNA from 1 species